UCCCUGGUGGCUCAGAGGUUAAAGUGUCUGCCUCCAAUGCGGGAGACCUGGGUUCGAUCCCUGGGUUGGGAA
rfam:Ovis aries breed Texel chromosome 1, whole genome shotgun sequence.